rnacentral:lncRNA from 1 species
CCACAAAAUGGUGCUAACUAAUAUAGAUAAACUCCGAAUAUCAUAUAUCUAUUGGAACUCAUGCAACUUUAUAGGCUAAGAGUGUAGUUUUGCGCCAAACUAUAUAUAUAUUUUCAUCAUUGACUUCUCAAAUUUUUAUUUCAUAUGAGCAUAUUCGCACAUAAAUUUCUACUAACAACGUGACAAACUUAUGAAAACUUAUGAUAAAAGAAAGUUAAACAACCAUGAUCAACAUUAUUAUAUAUUCAUGCACGAUUCAUGCAUAUUAAUGUAUUGGGUGAUUGCUGGUUUUGUUUUCGACCCGGUUGUGGGGUUUAGGAAGUCUCAGUAUCCAAAACCAAAACUGAUAUAGUAUAAAUUUUAUCCGCGUAUCAUAAGUUAGAUAUAAUUAAAAUUUUAAACUCAUAUUACCUUAUUUUCUUAGGAUGCUAAUAAAUUAUAACAAAAUGUGGAAUAUAUAGUUAUAUACUAGCUAGCUAGGAUUAUAAUUACUUUGAUAUAUGGGUUGAGGGUUUAUGGCUUAGCGUUUAGGGUUCUUAAUUGCUGUAAUAGCUUUAUAUAUAUUUCAAACUAAAAUUUAAAUAAAAAUAUAUCAAUCUGCAAUUAAUAUAUAUAUCAAUCUCCUCUCUUCUAUGGAACAAAUUAAUUCUACUGAUAGAUCUUAAGAUAUCUUUUUAAUUUGAAGGUGAAUUAAAAAAAAAAAAAACUUUUCCUUGGAGUCUUGAUCAUUUGAGUUCUCUGAGUGUAUACGUUGAAGCACUGGAUAUUUACUAAAUGUUAGAACUAUAAACUCGCAAAAUUCAAAAAAUUCAACCACAUUAAUCUAGCUUUCUUAGUUUAGUUUAUGGGCAUUUUAACUCAUGUAGUAGCUUAGAGAAUUGUACUGAGUAGGCUAAAUUAAGUUUAAAAUUCUCAUUGUGUUUCCUUUGGUGGAACUGAUACUUGUGAACAAUAUUAAUUAAGAAGUUACAAUUUAUAUGAUUAAUUAAUUACAAGGAAUAAGCAUGUAAAUAGGAAAUAACUUAUUAAUACUUAUAUUUCAGUGCCUAAUAUAUUUUGGGCUCCCAAUAUUCAAAGUGGCAAUAGAUAGCUUGGUAUUUCAUUAAUUUGUUAUUUAUCUUCGCAUAUUGCUUCCAUAAGUAUUUCAGUAUUAGUCAACUGAAUCUGAUGUAAUUACUAUAUUUAACAAAAUAAGAAAAAGAAAGACCUGGACUCAUCUGACCUCUAGUUUGAUUUUAAAAGUGCCAUUUUAAACUUUGAAACUUUUUAUAAUUUUCAAUUACAUGUUAAAUCACUUUCAUGUGCAAUGAAUAGCAUUAUUUAAUAUUUUCAAAUAGUCCUAUAUAUAUAGUUCAAUUAAUGUUCAAGAUAUUAUAUGCAUGCAAUACGACUAAAAUUCAGAUGUUAGCAUCCUUAUGUUACGUGACGUUUGGUAUUGAAGACCAUCUAAAGCUAUUACGUAAAACAGAGUUGGCGCAAAUUGUAUAUAGCAAUGUGAACCAUAACCGACCGUCCCUAGAACAAGUGGCAAAGGACUUGGUGGUUGAUACCCGAGACCUAAGUUUGAAUCCUAGUUAAUUCACAUUUUUAGCUAAGUUUAUUUCUAAAUAAAAUAAAUGAAGCGGAUAGCAUGCUACCUUUCUCUCUCUCUCAAAAAAAAAAGCAAUGUGAACCAUAUAAAAUAUAUGGUAAUUAACCGACUCAUGGAAAUUAAACACGCACAAUGUACGUACAUUAUAUUAAGUACGAAAACAAACGAAAUAUUUUUUUUUCAUCAUACUUAUGCACCGGAUGUAACGCAAUCUCCUCACAUGCAUUCCCAAAAGAAGUCAAAGAGAACUAGAGUCGAAAGUCGAGUCAACUUUAACUUGUCUCAACCUAAUUCAAAAUGGACUCAAACUCGGAGGUUGCACCCAUUUGGGCCCAAUUUGGAAAUAAAAUGAAUUGGGCCUAAUAACCCUUUUAUUAUUUGGGCUAGGCUUUAACGAUUAUACUUGGUGGGCUGGGCCUCCAUAGACUUGGUCCACCGCAUCAUUUACAGGUCACGUGGCUUCUAAAUCUCUUUCUGCUUUGUUAUUGGCUGGUGCAAUAGACCAGGUCCACGUAAUUACAAGGUAGUUUUCCCGCCAUCCACAACCUCGGAAGCUUCGGGAGAUUCGAAAUAAACUUAUAAUGGUCCCGGACUCCCGGAACUCUCUCGAAUAACCCCGACUCCCCUGUUGCGCGACGAAGCCCCUAGAAGCUCCCGGAGCCCCAUUCCCCUUCCCCGCGCGCGUCCGCUAUAAAUACUCGCCCACUCUUCGUCUCCCUCCUCGCUUGCGUUCUCGAAACCCUAAUCACGCUCUCUCUACGCUCUCGCGUGCGAUUCCCGAUUCUCGUCUUCUGAUUCCUCUGUGAGAUCGCGCGAUCGUUCGUGCUCCAACAAUGGCGGAUGUGGCGAUGGGGGAGACGGAGACGUUCGCUUUCCAGGCGGAGAUCAACCAGCUCCUCAGCCUCAUCAUCAACACCUUCUACUCCAACAAGGAGAUCUUCCUCCGCGAGCUCAUCAGCAACGCAUCUGAUGUGAGUGUUUUUUGAUCGAUUUUUUGUUGGGGGGGGAUUUUUAAGUGGUUUUUGAUGAGAAUUUGGAUCGGGGGAUCUGGAUUCGGGGGGUGCUGAUGCAUGCUUGCGUGUCGUUUGUAGGCGUUGGAUAAGAUCCGAUUCGAGAGCCUCACUGAUAAGAGCAAGCUCGAUGCGCAACCGGAGUUGUUCAUCAGAAUCGUACCGGAUAAGGUGAACAAGACACUAUCAGUGAUCGAUAGCGGCAUCGGCAUGACCAAGGCUGGUAAGAUAGAUCAAUCACGCUCUCUCUCUGUUUCUUUUCCUACUAGUUUGGAUCAUGCUUCUAUCGUUCGAUUUGGGAGAUAUGAUUGCUAUGAAGCUGGCAUUGUCCGAUUUGAUGAUCUUAGUUGAAAAUUUAUGUGAUUAGUUUUUGUGAUUGGUUUUUGUUUCUAGUUGCAAUUUUGUUGUUCAUCUGACGCAAUUAGAUGAGCAUGUGUUGAUUAUAUACAUUCUGUAAUAUCUCAUCUCUGUAUCAUGUUGCUACAUCUGAAUUCUGCUUGUUUAUUCUCCUUGAAGAUUAAAAAGAAAAGUUUAAUGAAUCUGUUAUACUGAACAAGAAUCUUACAGAUAAAUUGAGUGCAAUCUAGAACUAUUUGAUGUUAAGAAGCACAAUAUGGUGGUACAGAAUUAAGGAACUUAUUGGAAACAUUAGAAAGGCAGCUUUUACUCGACUCUGAUUGUGUGAAUAAUGAAUCGAUCUGUAGGGGAGGGAAUGACAUAUCUUUGCUGGUUAUCUAGAAUGAGAUUGAGAUUUAUUGUACACUUCCUGAUGCUGAUUUUUUCCCUUUUGUCUUCAGAUCUUGUGAACAAUUUGGGUACCAUUGCAAGAUCCGGCACCAAGGAGUUCAUGGAGGCACUCCAGGCUGGGGCUGAUGUGAGCAUGAUUGGCCAGUUUGGUGUCGGUUUCUAUUCUGCGUACUUGGUUGCCGAGAAGGUCAUCGUGACCACAAAGCACAAUGAUGAUGAGCAAUACAUCUGGGAGUCCCAGGCUGGUGGUUCCUUCACUGUUACUAGAGACACCUCUGGCGAGCAGCUUGGCAGGGGAACCAAGAUCACCCUCUACCUCAAGGAAGAUCAGGUAAGGUCAUUUUGAUAAAUCGUUUCUUUUCAUGUGUGCAUUCAAUUAAGACAUUUAAUUUUAGGCGCAGAGCUCUACGAGUUUGAAUUUUGACAUGUAGCCCUUUGAAAUUGCAUAAAAUUGUCUGUAGUGUAUGUAUCCAUGAAAAUUCAAUUUUUGCUAGGUUUCAUGCAGAAGGGUUUGUCUAAACAUGCUGCAUAUUCUGAAACUCUCUUUCCCUUAAAACUUCGAUUUCAUAUAUGCCUUGUGAGUAUAUUUAAAAUUUCUGUAAAUGCCUGCUAAAACUUGAAAGCCAAUGAUAUGCUGGAUGCUCCUGUUUUACAUGCAUUUUCAUAUUAUGAACUGUGUUUCAGACGUUUCGAUAUUUGUAGGUAACUGUUGUUUAACAAGAAAAAACUUGAAUUAAUUAUUGGUGAAUUAUGUGGAAUGGAGUAUUAUGUUUCGUUCAUAUAUAUUAACAAAACUAAAAUUUUAUUAGAAGCUAUACUCUUUAAUAACUAUUAAUGAAAGUUUAGAGAAAGGAAGUGCUAGUGGUGAUCUGAAUUGUGUGCAGCUGGAAUAUUUGGAGGAGAGGAGGUUGAAGGAUCUUGUAAAGAAGCACUCUGAAUUCAUCAGCUACCCAAUCUAUCUCUGGACUGAGAAGACUACUGAAAAGGAAAUUAGCGAUGAUGAAGAUGAGGAAGGAUCCAAGAAGAAGGAAGAAGAGGGAGAUGUAGAAGAGGUCGAUGAGGAGAAAGAGACUAAAUCCAAGAAGAAGAAGGUCAAGGAAGUCACCCACGAGUGGCAACUCAUCAACAAGCAGAAGCCCAUCUGGCUUCGGAAGCCUGAAGAAAUCACCAAGGAAGAGUAUGCUUCCUUCUACAAGAGCUUGACCAAUGACUGGGAGGAUCACUUGGCCGUGAAACACUUCUCGGUCGAGGGCCAGCUUGAGUUUAAAGCCAUUCUUUUCGUCCCGAGAAGGGCUCCUUUCGACCUUUUCGACACGAGGAAGAAGCUUAACAACAUUAAGCUCUACGUUCGGAGAGUCUUCAUCAUGGACAACUGCGAGGAGCUUAUGCCUGAGUAUCUUGGAUUUGUGAAGGGAGUGGUUGAUUCUGAUGAUCUGCCGCUUAACAUUUCCCGUGAAAUGCUCCAACAGAACAAGAUCCUCAAAGUGAUGAGGAAGAACCUCGUGAAGAAGUGCAUCGAGAUGUUCUUCGAGAUCGCAGAGAAUAAAGAGGACUACAACAAAUUCUAUGAAGCCUUCUCGAAGAACUUGAAAUUGGGUAUUCAUGAGGAUAGCCAGAACAGGGCGAAAUUGGCUGAUCUCCUCAGAUACUACUCAACAAAGAGCGGCGACGAAAUGACGAGCCUCAAAGACUAUGUGACCAGAAUGAAAGAAGGGCAAAAGGAUAUCUACUACAUCACAGGAGAGAGCAAGAAGGCGGUAGAGAACUCCCCCUUCCUCGAAAGGCUAAAGAAGAAGGGAUAUGAGGUUCUCUUCAUGGUGGACGCAAUCGAUGAAUAUGCUGUUGGGCAGCUGAAGGAGUACGAUGGGAAGAAGCUCGUUUCGGCAACCAAGGAAGGGCUUAAGCUCGAGGAGACAGAAGAGGAGAAGAAGAAAAGGGAAGAGAAAAAAGCUGCUUUCGAGAGCUUAUGCAAGACCAUGAAGGAAAUUUUGGGGGAUAAGGUCGAAAAGGUGGUGGUUUCUGAUAGAAUUGUGGAUUCUCCUUGUUGUUUAGUCACCGGAGAGUACGGAUGGACAGCUAACAUGGAAAGGAUCAUGAAGGCCCAAGCUUUGAGGGACAGUAGCAUGAGCUCUUACAUGUCGAGCAAGAAAACUAUGGAAAUCAACCCCGAGAAUGGUAUCAUGGAGGAGUUGAGGAAGCGGGCAGAGGCCGACAAGAAUGACAAGUCUGUGAAGGAUUUGGUGAUGCUCUUAUACGAGACGGCAUUACUGACUUCGGGGUUUAGUUUGGACGACCCAAACACAUUCGCUGGGAGGAUUCACAGGAUGUUGAAAUUAGGGUUGAACAUUGAUGAGGAUGGGGCUGGCGACGAGGAUGCCGACAUGCCGCCAUUGGAGGACGACGGCAACGAGGAGAGCAAGAUGGAGGAGGUUGAUUGAAAUGACAAUUAUGCUCGUUUGCAAAUACAAGUGUCUUUCUUGUCUCUUCUCUUUCGGUCCAUUUGUGUCUCUCUCUCUCUCAUCUUGUAGUUGCUGUGUGGGGAGGUUAACAUAUCUCUUACUUUGUAUGUAGUGUCUUGGUCGUGUUAUAUGAGCAACUGCAGCAAAACUGUUAGUCCUGUUACGAAGCGUGCGUAGUGUGUCGUACUUUUGUGUUACUAUACUUAGUGUUAUAAUGGAACAAGAACAUUCUGUGUUCUAAGUCAGUAUUCUUUUUGUGUUUUUUUCUCCUCCAAUUUUAGUUAAAAUUUGCUGUUGAUUGCAUUUUGAGUCUUUUCACAUGGUCUUGGAAGUGUUUAGGCAAGUCAUUCAGUUUCAUUGCUCUUGGGAGAAAAAGGGAAAAGGUGAAAAAAAAAAAAAAUGUUUCUCUAUUUUUCUAAUUGAAUAGAAGAAGCUCUUUUAUGCUAAGAAAUUACAUUCUACAAACAACAAAUGAUAUGACCAAAUUUAUUUAGAUUCUAAAGAGUGAAAUUUAUUUAAUAGGAUGAUGAUACAAUUUUAAAAUUGUUAGAAUUAUUGACAAUUUAUUAACAGUUUCAUGUAUUUGAGAAACUUAUUAUCUCCACCAGGCGUACCUGAAACCACGAACAAACGCGCACUCGCAUAGUUAAUGGAUUAUAAAUUUUGAUUUGUGAGAUUUUUUUUAUCACGUAGGGCUAGGUGCAUGGUGUAGAGGGCAUAUUCCUCUACACAUACACCCUAAGCAAUCCUCAUUUUCACAAGCCCAUCUCGUUUGUUCGAGCGCCAAUUUUUAUGCUCCAAAACAAUAUGCUUCGUCUCCCUCCAUCGCCAUGUCGUCGUCCCCAGACCCCACCAUCCUCCACUCCGAAACCCUAACCCUACCUCCUCCCCCGUUCAUGGCGGACGACGCCACCUCCACCACCGCCACCAUCUCGUGGCCGGAGAAGGAGAAGACGACGGCGACGACGGCGACGGAGGAGAAGAAGAGGGAUCGUCUCGCGGAGCUCCCGGAGCAUCUCCUGCUCCGCAUCGUCUCCUUCCUCCCCACCCACGUCGCCGUGCGCCUCUCCCUCCUCGCCCGUCGCUUCCGCGGCCUCUGGGCCUCCUCCCCUUCCCUCUACCUCGAUCGCUCCUCCCUCCGCCGCACCCCCCGCUUCGUCCUCCUCGCCGAUCGCUUCCUCUCCCUCCGCGACCGCUCUGCGCCGCUCCGGCGCCUCCGCCUCUGCUCCGACUACUCCGCGCGCCACCUCCUCGACCCCCUCGACCCGAUCUCCUGGCUCGUCCGCUCCCGCCCCCUCGGCCUCCGCCACCUCCACCUCGACCUCCACCACGAAACCCUAAUCUAUCUCCUCCCAUUCAUCCUCGACUUCGAAACCCUAGAGUCCCUCUCCCUCUCCACCUUCUCCAACCCCUAUGGCGACAAGGGCAUCGUUCUCCCCGACACUAUCCGGCUAGAUCGCCUAAGAAGGCUCAGCCUUUACCUCCUGCUUGAGCCCCUCUCCCUCUCGCGGCUCGUCGCCAGCGCCCCGGUGCUUGAGGAUCUCAAUCUGAGGGACGUGAGGGCGAAGCAGGUGGAUCUGAAUGCUCCCAAUCUUAAAAGGUUGAAUCUUAAUUCGCAUUGGCUCCUUGAGGUGCGAUUGUGGUGUCCUAAGCUCGAGCUCCUGCGAUGCAGCCUCUCGGGGCCGUUGGCGAAGUAUGAGGGGUUCAUGCCCUCGCUCCGGAGGGCGCGUGUCACAUUGUCGGAUCUUACGGCCGAGGAUGCUGCUGCUGUAGGAUGUGUGAUUCAGAGUGUUGCCAAUGUGUCUGAGCUUAAAAUUCGCGUCUCCGCUUGUUGGGUAAUCUUCGGACGCUUACAUUAUCUUGUGAUUUUCAUCCCAGAAGUAGUGAGAAAUAUUCCAAAAGAAAACAUCUGUUCUAGGCAUAAUCUCGACUGUGUUUAGCAAGUGAGGAUAGCUCCUGAAUAAUGACUUUAGUGCCCAACCAUGAAGUGGGGAUAUCUAACGCUACCCACAAAGUUCAUUUGGUUCAUUGACAAUUUCUAGGGGAGCAACGUUUCUAUUCUCGAGUCAUAUCACUAUUUAAGAAACAAUAUCAGUUUUGUGUUUGGUUUUUCAUAAUAGGGACAGCUUUUUUAAUUGUAGGAGUAACUAAAGUAGGCGAUAACUCGAUUCUCGAGUUGGAUUUAGUAGUUGUUUAGUGUUUCCUUGGAGGAUAGAGUGAGAACAGUGGUAUCCUAUUUUUCCUUUAAUUUUAUAGCUCCUUUAGAUGCUGAUUAUUCUUCCCAAGAGUAGGAAUUCCACUCAAGAUUUAUGGCCCAGAAUGUUAGUGAGAAGAGCCACCCAUGAAUCGUUGUAAUCAUUCUGUAUUUCCGGCUGCUAAUAAACGGCUGAAUGCAUACUUUUUCCAGCUUCCUGGAGGUUUCGAUAGUACUUCUAAUGAUUGAGCCAAAUUUCAUGCAUGGUUGUUUACUGAAAUAAGGAAGUUGAUUUAUAGGCUAAGAAUCUGUUGCAGUAAUCUUGUGGUUUAGUAGACAUUCUUUCCAUAAUGUCUGUUAGUAGUCUCUUGAUUGAGAGAUUUGCCUUGGUACAGAACCCUUAUUUCUUAUGCAAAUUUUAGCUCUGUGAGAUGUUAUUUGAAAAUAUUUUGUUUUUGUUUGUUCUCUGGGCAUCGGGAGAUUAGCUAUCUUGAUGUGAACUUUAAGACAGCGUAAGUCGAAGUCUGCAUCUUCCCUGUCCGUUUGAUACUAAAAUCCUGUAAUAUAUGUUAGUCCAAUGUAUUAUAUCUUAUUCUCACUUAUUUCAAAAUGUUGCGGAGUAGAAGAACAACAUAACAAACAAAAGAAUUGAAAGAUGACUAGCUCUAGAUCAAUUUGAUGAGACUUUGUGAAAUAUAGCUCUAGAGCAAUAGAUGGCUUGCAUUUGUAUUCUCUUGAUUUGCUUUGACAACUUCGUUGUUCUUUAGUUGGUGUUUUGGCCUAACGCCUUGAUAAGCUAUCAUUUGAUGGUAUCAUGCGUUUGGCAUGAUAUAUUGUUUUUUCUGUCUAAGCUCUGUAAUUUUUUUUUUUUCCUUUGGUUGUGUAGAUUGUGUAAAGCGAGUUUGGCUGUCAUGCCCUGUGUCUAUCCUAUAGAGGAAAUAGGUACAUCAGGUGUAAGCCACCUACUCAUAAAUUCUUCACAGGGCACACAAUAAUGUUUAAAUUGAAAAUUUCCAACGUCUCAAAUAAACAAUAGUAGUUUAGCACAUCCUGCUUAUGUUUACUAUUAUUAUUAAUAUUAUUGUUAUUUAAAAUUUUCAUGUAUUUCUAUCUGCAUGUUUCAUUGGUGAAAGGAUGCCUCUAAUUGUGUAUAAUCUUUUGCAUGAAAACAUUUAGAGACAGUUACUUCCGGUUCGCCUCUUGGUAGACGAAGAAAGGAGCCUUCCGACUUUUCCUAAUCUGAGAAGUUUGUUUGUCUACACAUCCUUUCAUGAGAUAAAUAUCAGAGACAUGAUUACUUUGCUUGAUCAUUCGCCGGUUCUCGAUUCUCUCGACUUGUGCCACUCGGUAAUGGCACUUAAACUUCAAUCCUUCUCUUGUAGAAUAUUGAGUUUCUACAUUAUGUGCCUUGUUGUUUGGCCCCGGCUCUGGAACUGCUGUAUUCAAGAAGGUAGAAGUUUGUGAUGUUUGGCUGACGGAUAGUCCAGAGCCGUUGCUGUUACAAGAAGCUAAGAUGAGCUUUUGGAGCCCAAAGAGCAGAAACUCCGGUACGAAGUUUCUGCUUCUGCUGGGAGAAAGCUGUGAAGGACAAUUUUCAAGAAAAAGCUAUCGGUGCUCUUUUGAGACAGCAGUUUUGCAGAAGCGCUCCGUGUAGGCCGCAAUGCUUUCAAACUAAUUUUUACUCUCUUGUCUUUCAGUCUCCGUAUAUCAAUGAUAAGAAGAAGAAGGCAAAAGACUGGCAAUCGAAGCUGCCUCGAAAUUCUUCUGGCAAUUAUCAAACUGCAUGCUUCACCGAUCUUCGAGUAAAGAAGAGGAGGACUGAGGCUGUGAAGCUGCUGUCGAAGAGAUUGAAGAUAAAAGAGUAACCGUAAAUCCGUAAAUGCUAUAAUAACAGAGAGCUUUUGUGAAUCCGCUCAACCUCUUUUUGUGAUGUUUUCGAGUUUCUUGCGACUCGUUUUGCUGCAUAUUAUCUAAUUUAUCUCUACAUUAGUGUUUUUUCUUGAGUAUCUUUUUGAUUGCUCAAUGAGCCAAAGGACUUUCGGAACUCAUUAAUCGGAUUAUUGGUUUUGUGUGCCUCUAGCCUGUUUGGAUUCUUCGAUAUAGCAGCAAGUACACCACUUCAUGAGAUCUUUUUGUGUUGUAAAUGUUUCAGGUUGUGCAGUAGAUUGGGCGCGACCACAAAAGAGCACAAUUUUCUGGGUAAGGUUUCUUGUACUCUAAUCUAUCUAAUGAGGUUCCUUUCUCAGGCUAUUAUUCAGCACCUAGCUUUUGUCUCUUAUUAUUUGUAGUAUAAUACUAGUAAUUUCUUUUUUCUAGGCUUGGAUUGGAAUUGAACAUUGAGCAUGCAAAAAUCAUGACUCUGGUAGAAAUUUCACCUCUCUCUCCUUGUUUUUUGCUUCUUCUUUUGUUUGUCCCUACAGUAGAAUAUGACUCCAUCAAUUGCAGCAAUACUGUCAUAUUUCUUAGUUGUUAUUAGCACUUCAACCAUUCCAAUAACAUCAUUGCCAUAUGAGUGAUACACUAUUGGAUUAGUUGGUUAAGUUAAUUAGAUUAGAUUGUUGAAUUUGAUUGCAGCAAUUUAAAAAAUUUGGGCUAAAAAAUUCGUAAUAAUAAAUAAAAUUAGAGUACUAAAAAUUGAGGACAGACAGAACACCUUGUACAAUUUAGCCAGCAAUAAAAAUAAAUAAAACACAUUACUGCAGUGGAUGAUGAUAAGCAAGGAAGCAUCUGUCGUUCCCAUUACCAACAUAAUAAUAAUAAUAGUAAAUAGUAAAUAGUAAAUAGUAAAUAAACAAACACGUAAUGAUGAGUCCAUUCGAGCGUGGUGCGGAGGAGGGGUGAUGGGGGGGAAGGGGGCUAGUGGGUGAAGGCGUAGAAGACGGUGGAGACGUAGACGGCGAGGGCGACGGAGACGAGGGCGAUGAGGGCGGCGGCGGAGCGGACGGCGGGGGGGGCGCCGCAGGAGAGGAGGCCGAGGCGGAUCUGGAUGACGUCGACCAUGGAGAGGAGGAGGAAGACGCAGCCGAGGACGGAGCCGCCGGCGGAGGCGAGCAUCCCGAGGCGGAGCAGGCGGGCGUCGAUGCGCGCGCGGAAGGCGUCGUGGGGGUCGUUGGCGUUGAUGAGGUUCAGCGCCAGCUUCAGCCCCUGCGCCACCAGGCUCGAGAACAGGAAGAAGCUGAACGACACCACCUCGAACGCCAGCAGGUUCCGCGCCACGUCCGCACCCGCGCUGCACCCUCCCCCUUGCCCUGGGCUCGGCGGCCCCGUCAGGGACAGCCCCACGAACACCGCCACCGUGAACAGCGAGUUCACGUUCACCACCCCGUCCAGCGCCGUCACGUGGAUGCUCGUCGUCGUCGUCGUCGUCGCCAUGGACCCGGAGUGCUCGGGGGGCUUGGGGGAGCUGUGGUCCUCGUCCUCCAUGCGUGUACUAGUAGUAGUGCAUGAUCUCUCGAUCGAUCGAUCGAGAGAGAUUUGGGGAAAGUGAUGGAUUAAGAGAGAGAGAGAGAGAGAGAGAGAGAGAGAGUCUGGAGAGAUUUGGGGGAGGAGACGCGUGACGAAGGGGGGAGAAAUUAAUUAAUUAUUAAUUAGGGUCGUACAGCUCUCCGUAAAUAUAGUAAAUUACAGAUAUAUAUUUCUUUAAAGUUGAACUUUUAUAAAUUAUUUUUGUAAAAAUUUUAAUAUUUUUAGAUAUGUCCAUGUCCUUAGAAUUCAUUAGAAAAAUUUAGUUAACCAUAGGUUAAAUAUUUUAUUUGAAUUAAUUUUUAAUAUUUUUAUCCCUCUUGUGUUAUACUGUUAUAAUUUUUAGAGGGACAUAUUUGUGAUGGUAAAAUUGAAAAAAUAAGCAGUUUUCUAACAGUUCUCUAAUGGUAACAAAUUAGAAAGAUAUAACUGAAAAUAUUAGGAUUUUUGUAAAAAUAAUUUAUAAAUAUUGAAUUUUAUAGAAAUAUAUCUGUAAGUCAUUAUGUUUGCAAGAAUUUGUAUGCAAUUAACCCUAUUAAGUAAAAAAAAAAGAAAAAAAAAAAAGAAUGGGAUUGGAGAGGGUAAAAGUGGGAAGGGGUGAUGAUAUGAUAGGCUAAGAGCUUGCUUGAGCUUGAUGGAUAAAAAAAAAUAGAGUUAAGACCAGCCCCCAACUAUUAAGGAAAUUAGAAACUCAUCCUUUUGAGUAGCUUAGCUUUCCAUUUAGGAAAUUUGGAAGGUCCCUGUGGGGCCGUUUCAAAAUUCACUAUAGUUGAGGGGGUCUCCCUCUCUACAUUUUUUUUGUCUUAGGAAUCAAAUUAAAUCAUGUGAAUUUGGGACGCGUCGUAGUUUAGGUGAGAAAGUCACGGAUAGAUGUGGACGCGGGCGGUGGGUUAGGGAUGACCUCUUUAGUAGGAAAUUAAUUAAAUUAAUUUAUACUUUAUUUUACGUAGUAACCCAUAAUAAUAAUAAUAAUAAUAAUAAUAAUAGCUUAUAUAAGGUGAGAACGACAUGAAAGACAAAACAAAUAUAAUUUCUUAUCGGGUAAGGCUCCGUUUGGGAUAGUAUGGAAAUUGUAUCAUACACAAUUUAAAAAAAUGUAUAAAAUAAUAAUUAAUUUAUUUUUAUAAAACAAGAUUAUAUUGUCGGUACCUAAGAUAUAUGUUUUAUGGUCAUACAAAAAAAAAACAAAAAAAAAACGGAGAAGUAAAAUUCUGAAUAUUUUUAUUCCAAUUUCGUUUUAUUUUAUAGUGUUGGGUGUAACUUGUCACAGAACAGUUGGAUCAUGUAGUUGGGAACAAAUUGUAUGCGAACAACUUUGCGUUAUAAAAUAUAAUUGAAAAAAAAUUAAAUCGCGUCAAUCGAAAACAUUCAUGUUAGGGGUCUAUUUCAAAAUUGGCUAUAGCUAUCGAUUGUCCCUAACGCAAGUGGCUACGGAUUUAGUGGUUGGCAUCCGAGAUUCUAAGUUCAAAACCUAGUUGAUUCAUAUUUUUAGCUAAAUUUAUUUCUAAAUGAAAUAAACAAAGCGAGUAGUAUAUUACUUAUCUCUCAAAAAAAAAAAAAAAAAGUCUAUAGCUGUAGGUCUUGCUAAUUUUUUUCCCCACUAUUGGUAAUAAAUGUGCGAAAUUUGUUGGUGCACAUAGAUUGGCAUCAGAAGAAAGAAAAUAGAAGAUCAUAGGAUCACUUAUGUGGCAGAUGAAUUUUUCAAGUGUGUAUGUGUUUAUAUUAUACAUAUAUAUAUGGGACAUGACUUUUAAAAUUUCAAGCAUGCAGUAUCCAAUAUUUGAGUAGCCCAGAAUCUUGUAAAAUUAUAUUCAGGACCACUGAUUGGUUACCUAUCCACCACAUUGCUUUAAUCCAAAGAGAGAAUCCUUUUGCUCUUUACAAAAGCUAGUUUACUUAUUAUACAUCCCCCAGGGUCUUCACUCACCAUUUCUCACUUCCUAAGUUCUUUCAAACUCUCCAACCAUAAAAACUCUCUCUCUCUCUCUCUCUCUCAUCAACACUAUGGCUCAAAUGAUCCAUGGCUUCAUCACCCUUUUUGCCUUAUCCCUUCUAGUAGUAGCCCUCACAAUGAGCCCUACCUUUGCUGAACAACCCGGCAAAAGCGAAGGCGAAGGCGAGGGCGAGGGCGAGGGCCUCACUCUUGAGCUCAUUCACAGAUACUCCAUUCGCUCCCCGUUGUACUCUCCCAACCUCACAACGGUCGAAAUGAUCAAACAGCUCGUCGAGAUUUCCGACCGCCGAUACUUUGAGAUCGCAAUGUCGCUGGCCCACGGGUCUCGCCUGAUGGGGGUGCGGCCGAUCGUGGCACACGAUAAGUGGCUGUACAUGGUGAAGCUCGGCAUUGGGAAUCCGCCGACCUUCACGCGCUUGCACCUUGACACGGGAAGCAACAUAAUGUGGACACAGUGCGCACCAUGUCGGAGUUACUUCCCGCAGCUCCCGCCAUUGUACUGGCCGGCCAAGUCGAGAACGUACCGCACACUACCCUGCGACCACCGCCUUUGUGCCGGGUACCCGUGCAUCAACAACAAGUGCCACUACGAGAUGAAGUACGCUGCCCUACUAAGAUUCUCCUUGAUCUCUCCGUAAACUUAUAUCUGAGCGGUUAUUUACUGUGUGGUAAUGUUUGUUUGGUUUGGUUUGGUUUUCGAAGCUGCUCUUCUGUUCCAAAAGCUGAAGCAUUAGACGAACAAAGAGACCACGGUGAUAAGAAGUCAAAAUUAUUUUUCUAGUCUUUGAAAACAAUACCAGUUAUCCGGCGCAAAAAAGCUCAUUUUAUGUUGUUGACAUAGAAGAACAAUUGCUUCUCAAAAUGAGAAAAACUUGUACAAUAAGAUAGGCCGAAUGGGCACCCACUACUGGUCUAGUCUAUUUUUUCAAAUUAAAGUUUCUACUUUUGACUUUAAUAUAAAGUUAUUUAGUAAGCUAUUUGUGAAGAAAUGAUAGAUAAGAGUGUGCGUCAUCUGAUUCGUUCUUGUCAGGUUCUUUGACGGCACCUACACCAAAGGGAUUAUAGCGGCCGAGCGUUUCACGUUCGCGUCCAACCUCGGCGGCCGCUCCGAGGCUGUCGACGGCGUGGGCUUCGGUUGCUCCAAAGAGAGCAGCUCAGACAUGUACCCUAGAACCCAGGCAGUCAGCGGGAUUCUCGGCUUGGGUUCCGACGUACGGUCCUUCCUGAUGCAGCUCGGAGACCGAGCGAAGGGCCGCUUCUCGUAUUGCUUGGUCCCCCUAGAACACACCGGCCAGAGCUAUCUUCGAUUCGGUACUGACGUCGAGCGAAUAAAACAUGCGCAAACCACGCCCAUCCUACCGAAGCACGAGCUCGAAGUGUAUUCUCUUGAGCUGAAGGAUCUCAGCGUCGACGGUCGUUUGCUUCGUUUGCCGCCAGAUACUUUCAAGGUAAACCGCAAUGGCACCGGCGGUUGCAUCAUAGACUCGGGUUUAUCGGUCACUUUCAUGAUCGGAGAGGCGUUCGAUGCUUUGGUUCAUUCUUUGGAGGAGUAUUUUCAAAACUAUGAUCUUCGAAAGAUCGAGGAUCCGAGGGACACGGGCUUGGAACUGUGCUACAAGAAGCCGAGGGGCUUCUCGUCUUACCCGACGGUCGGGUUUCACCUCCGAGGGGCCGUUUUUCGGCCGAAGGCCAAGAGUGUCUUCUUGAUCGACGAGGCGCUGGGCACGUUCUGCUUGUUUGUGAGGAAAGGGGAGUUUACGCUCCUCGCGGCCGUUCUGCAGCAGAACUUUCGGAUGGUGUUCGAUGUUCGAAAGCGCAAGCUAACUUUCGCCGAAGAGAAUUGUGCGCGAGAUUGAGAGAGUGAACGGUUGCAAAACUUUAUAAUGAGCUCUAAUAAAAGGUAAAUGAUGUUUCAUUCUAAUGUGAAGUUUGGAAUGAAAACAUGUUCAUUCAACAUCACAUUAACUAAGAAGCUUUUUAGACGCGGAAAUUAGGCUUGAACAUCCUUAAUGAGCCCCACAAGUGAAAAAGAACAUCUUCAAUUAUUAUCUGAUCCAUUAAUAGAGACUUAUUUAAAGUGAAAUCUAUAGUUUAAAUGGAGCUUUUACAAAGUAGUUUGUUAAUGCACCUCUCUCUCUAGAUAUAUAUAUACGAGAAUUGUGGUACUAAUUGCUUUUAAAAUUCUUACACCGCGUAAAUUAUUGCAAAUAUCUUGUUUAAAAUCCAAAAGUAUCCUAUAAGAAUGCUUAUUGAGUGUCCUUUACAUUAGUUUCCACCCUAAACUAUUUCCAAUAGCCUAUCACCUAGCACUGCUCCAAUGAGUGAUCUUAAUUGUGUUUUAUAUGAUCUUUUAAGGAGCCAAAAUUAAAUUUUUUGUUUUAAAUUAUAUAAGAAAAUUUUUAUAUCGAAUAAAUUAUUCUUGAAUAAGUUAUUUUAACAUCCAAACAGGAUGAUAUGGUUAGGCAUCAAUUUCAUUUGAUUUCUCAGAAGCAAGCAACAAAGUAAAGGGCCUCUUUUCCUCGGCUUUCAUUUAAUUUGAUUUCAGUUAUUUUAGCCAGCUAAAUUAGAAAAUUUCUUCAAAUUAACCAUUUUAUCAGCUCACUGAUAGUUAAUUCUAAAUUUGGAUUUUAAAUUGAAAAUUUUAGAUAAUUUUUGAUGGCAUGAGUUUUUUAAAUUAAUUUAUUUAUAAAUUUGAUUGGUUUCUAAGUAUAUUACCUUUUAUAUGUGUUUCACAAUAUACAAUUUUUGUUUUUUUGUGCACACCCAAAAUUUAAAAUUUUGUCUUGAUUCAUAUGUAGAUCCCUGAAUCAAACUCACAAUUUAAAUUUAAUUUUGAAUUUAUUAUUAAAUUUAAAUAAUUGUUGAUAUGGUGAGCCUACUAUUAAACCACCCUAUUUGCACCCGGUGCACGCGGUACGCUCACCGCUGUGUAAUCGUGACCUCGAAUUUUUUUCCCCACCAAUCCACAACAAAAUUUAUUUUGGGGCGAAUCGGCCCAUGUUGUCAAGGCGGUGAGCUCACCGGGAGUGACCAGAUCCACACUAGCCCGGUCCGGCUCGGCUCGGCCGGCCCGGCCCGGACCGGAACGGCUAAAAGUUCGGGCCGAGCCCGUGCUGGCCUAGUGUGUUUUUUUAGGUUUUAAAUAUUUUUUUUCCUUUAAAAAACUAAAAAAAGAUUAUAAGCAGAUUUUUUUAACUAUAAAAAAAAAGGCUAUUAUGGUUUAAAAUAAUUAAAAAUUAAAUAAAAGGUUAGAAAAGUUAUAAAUAUUUCAAAAAUUAUUUAGAAGGAAUAUAAAAAAAUUAAAUUGAAAAUUUAUCUGAUUAAAAUUAAAAAAAAAUUUAAAAAUAUUUGGAUAGUUUUAAAAUAAAAACUAUAUAUAUAUAGAGUAGGGCUACUAUACUCUUAUGAGCAUUGGGCCCUUCAUACUCAUAAGUUGUUUUCGAUGAUGGGGCUCUCGAAUCGACAAUCCAUUACGUUAAAUAUGAUCUAGAGUAUUUGAAACUUCUAAAAAAUAAAUUUCGUAAUUUUUGGAAAUCAUAAUAAAGUCCAUCAAACGGGCAUAAAAUGAACGGUCAAAAUCGAACGACGUCCUAAAAAUAGAUGAUCGGAUGCUUCAAUUUAAGAUCGGAGUUAUUGAUCAUUAUCUAGAUAGUGAAUAGAAUUUUCUAUCAAAAAUUCAACCUAUUCCAAUUCUUUUAUAUGGUUAAACUAGCAAGUAUUCUAUACCGGCCGUUAAAAAUUGUCAAUUUUGUGAGCUUUUGAUCGUAAGGUAAAUGAUAUCGAAAAAUUAUGAAAUUUGAUUUCUAGAAGUUUUAAAUGCUCUAGAUAAUGUUUAACUGUAUGGAUCGUCGAUUCGGAAGCUCUAUCAUCGAAAACAACUUAUGAGUACGAGAGCGAUCUUACUCAUAAGAGUAUAGUAGCCGGACUCUCUCUCUCUCUCUCUCUCUCUAUAUAUAUAUAUAUAUAUAUAUAUGGUUAAAUGCAUUCAUGCACUUGCAAAUAUAGUGAAUUGCAAAUAUAUCUCUAUAAAGUUCAACUUUCAUAUGUUGUGUCUAUAAAAAUUUCUAAUAUUUUCAAAUAUAUCCAUCUGAUUUGUUACCGUUAUUUAUGUUUUAAGUGAAAUAUCAAUUUUACCAUCACAAAUAUAUUCCUCCAAAAAUUACAAUAGUAUAAUAUAAGAGAGUCAAAAAUGUCAAGUUAUUUCAUAAAUUAACUAGAGUUAAGCAUUUAAUCUAUGAUUAAUUAGAGUUUUCUAACGAAUUCUAAUGGUAGGGAUAUAUUUGAAAAUAUUAGGAUUUUUGUAGGGACAAUAUAUAAAAAUUAAAUUUUGUAAUGAUAUAUUUGUAAUUUACUAGCUUGCAGGGACAUGUUUAUAUUUAUUAGCAUUGAGUUCUAUAUGUUAAUUAAUAUUUAUUUAGUUGCUAAUACAUUUUUAAAAAUUUAGCAAAUAUAAAUAAAUAUGUAUAGGUCGGAGUUAAUAAUCUUUUACCUAGAUAAUAAAUAUAAUUUUCUACUACAAAUUUAAUUAAUUAUGAUUCUUUUACACCGUUAAACUAGCAAUAAGGCUGGUUAAACUAACAAGUAUUCAAUAUCAAAAAAUUAUAACUAAUCGUCCCUAAUGCAAGUGCCAAAAGGCUUGAUAAUUAGUACCCGAGGUCCUUAGUUCUAAACGAAAUGGGUAACAUGUUACCCAUCUCUCAAAAAAAAAUCAAAAAAUUAUAAAAUUUAAAUUUUUCAAAUUUUAAAUAUUCUAAAUCAUGUUUAACAAUAUCUACCGUUAUUCAAAAGUUCUAUCGGGAAAAAUAAUUUAUGAAUACAAUGAGGAUCCUAUUCAUCAAAGUAUAUAUGCACAAACCUCUGAUUGGUUAGCUAUCCUCAAAUAGAUUUCCUUUGGACCUAGUUUACACACACCCUCAUUGGUUAGCUAUCCUCAAAUAGAUUCCUUUUUUCCUCUUAAAAGGAGGAAUUCUACACUGUCGUACUUGCACCACAUCGUCAAUAACAAAUCAAUCACAUUUCUUUUUUUCAAACAAAAGUACAAUAAAAAUAUUUUUUUACAAUCAUGAUGAGACAUAUACCCCUAAAAGAAGACAUUUGAUUGGUUUGUUACGCUACGUCACUAAUAUACCCAUUGCAUUCUAAAAUUUUUCCUUAAAAGGACCUAUAUAUAUAUAUAUAUAUAUAUAUAUAUAUAUAUAUAUAUAUAUAUAUGAUUGAUUUAUUAUUGAUGUUCUGGUAGAACUGUAACAUAAUAGACUCAUCAAGAUACAACUAGCUCCACAUUAUCACCUCUCAAGAUCAAGUACAUGCAUAUUACACUAUGCUCAGUCUGAGAAAAGAGGGAAAUGGGCCAGAUUCAUAAAAUAAGCAAAGCCAAAUCAACAAACUAGAGGCCAAAAUGCGGAGGAAAACAAAAAGGCCACCUAGGUACUUUUACUAAACAAGAAGUUUAGUUCAACGUAACACUGGGAAAAAAUAUAUAUAUAUUCGGUGAAAAAAAAUUUUCGUGGAACAAAAAUUUUACAUUGGUUCGUAGAAAAGAAAAAAUAGUUUUCCAACAAUGUUUGUUUGGUUGAAAGGAAAACAUGUAGAAAAAACCAUUUAUAUAAUAUAUGUUUCCUAUAUAGCGUAGAAAUAGUAUUAUACAUUUUAUUUUAUACACAUACUAUACACAUUACUAUUACACUGUUGGUGGGAGAUCCACAAGAAAAAAAAAAUUAUUUGUGCACCUCUCGCACACCCAUGAACUCACACAACCAGCUUCAAAAGACCACCAAUUUAUUUCGUACUCCCAAUUUAACUACCCAAAUUUUAAAUUUUAAACAACUGCUGUAUACAAAAUGGAAUAGACAUAUAUUUAUAAAAAAAUGUUAGAUGAAAAUAGUGUACAUAUAUGAAUACACCAAGUAUACAAUAAUCUCUAGUAUUUGUAGGUGCACUUGGUUCAGACAUUUGGUUUCUUAGUGGGUGGACCGCAUGAUCUUUUAAUUGCCGUGCACAUAUACACACCGGUGUUUUUAUUUAUUUAUUUAUUUAUUUUUUGCAGCAAGAGCUUUUCGUUUUCCACAAUACCGCCAAAACGUUUUCCACAAUUCCACGAAGUUUUGGCGGAAAACAAAAAGGCCCAGUUAUAAUAAUAUGUAAAAAAGUUUUACAAGGAAAACAAUUUUACAGCUCAACAAACGAACGAAAACAAAUUUUCAGACUGAAAGGAGUUUUCUGACCAUUUUUACGAGUAAUCAAACACACCCUAAACGAAAAUACAGGGGGUAUAAACUGAGAAUCACCUCAUAUUUGCCACACUAGAUUCAAACACCUCAGCAAUCACCAUGUUCAAGUGCUUGACCAAAGGCAACAAUAACCACAGCAGUUGCCUGCACAGCAACAAGCCAUCCAACUGUGGAUUAAAAUGUGUCGAUUUAGUACCCCGUGAUUUUAUUUCUCUUUUUAUUAUCCCCCUCUGCUAGAUUUUUCGUUAAAUCAAUAACAAAAUUAAAACUAAAAAGUACUUAAAUAAAUAUUCAAUAAACCUAGAUAGGAUAUCUAAAGCUUUUUAUAUAUAAUUUAACAAAAUAUUAACAGAGGAGCUGGCGAAAAAAAAUAAAAAUAAAAAUAAAACCACAAGAAACUAAAUUGAUACAUUUUAAAACACAAAAUACUAAGUGUAGAAGUGCGAAACUGCAGGAAUGAUAUUUGAAGUUUACCCUAUAUAAAAUCCAGCAUACUUUGCAUUACUGCUCGCAAUAUAAGCAACUCAACCAGCAGGUAGCUCACAGCUGACGAGCAUAGCAGCCGGCAUCACAAAAUUUUCAUGAGAAAGGGGGGAAAAAAUCUACUUUGUAACAAUCACACCAUAGAGGAUCGAUAACAAUCAAAUCAAAACUUCAAAAUCAAUCAAUUCACACCAAGAAAGAUAAAUAGAAGAAACAGAACAAUUGCAAUAUGUCUUCCAGUUGAUAGAAACACAAAUGGGGGACGAAAAAAGAUCGAUGGAGGCUCAGAUUUAACGCCGAAAGUAAAAUAAAUCAUAUACGCCAGUCUACCAAUGGUGAAGUCGCUGCAGGGGUUGCCUGCACGGUGGAAGGCCAUCCAACUGCCCAGCGAACAUCGCCAAAGAAACAAGCAUAUCAUUGGGUUGUAAACAAAUGUGGUGCACCGGAUGCAAGAAAUAUAUAUAUAUACACACAUAUUCAAAGAAAAAGAAAAAAAAAAAAAAGAUGAAGAGAGAUAAUGCAUUGCAUGUAGCAAUUCCAAAAACUACAGAUGUUUAGUAGCAUUUAUCGACUCUGUGAUGUGGCGUUUAUCAUCAUUGCCUCCAGAAAGGAAAAGAACAAAAAAAAUUGACGAAACCAUGCCAUUUGGAAGACCCCCUGCUAAAAAGAGUUAGGCAUUAAAGAAAGAGAAACAUAUUCCUACAAAAUCAUACCACUGCAAAAUCUGUAAAUUCACAUAUACUUACUUUGCCCCAGGUGACGAAAAAAGUGCAAUUAGAUAUAUGAAACAGUAACUUCUAAUUCACCAAAUUGAAAAUAUGCCAUACCAGGGAGGAAAAUUGAAGUUUAUUCAAAUAAAAAAAUCAAUAAAUCAAAAGAAAACAAAUACAAACCAAUAAACAAAUAGAAUUGAGGAAAAAACAUAAAGAUAAAGCCACGCUUCAAAUUAGUACCUUGAUUUCCUUGGAAAAGGGAGAGCAAAGAAGAACAGAGGAAGGGUUUAGGGUUUAGUGUUUACUUUUUAGCUCUCGGAUGCCUAGUGUUUAGCAGUGGUAGGUGGAAUCAUAUUGACCCAAGGGCUGAAAAGUUAAUAGCAAACAGCCUUCACUUACUAUCAACACUAUUUCAGAUAAACAACACACACACACACACACACACACACAGAGUCCGGCUACAAUACUAUCAAUAGCACCAAGCACUUGGUGCUAUCAGGUUUUCCGCUAUUAGAUCUACCUCUUUAACCAUUUCCACCCUUUAGAUCAUACUAUUCCACCAACCACUCAAUAAACCCAAGGAUCACAAUCAUGCUAACCGCACAUUCGCACAUCCCUUUAUCCAAGGGGCCGAAAACCUAAUAGCACCAAUGACUUGGUGCUAUUAAUAGUAUUCUAGCCUAGUUCUAUAUAUAUAUAUAUAUAUACAUAGAGAGAGAGAGAGAGAGAGUUACAAUAUUAUUGAUAAUAGCAAGUUGUUGCUACUAUCAAUUUUGUGGCCCUUGUAUCUAUGCAUAAUGUUGAGAGAGAGAGAGAGAGAGAGAGAGAGAGAGAGAGCGAGACAACAGUCUAACACCACGCCCAAGGGUAGAGAAAACAAGUCAUGGGCUGGCAAACAGCAAUUGAAGGACUUCUGGAGCAUGUCACAAAGAUGUCGUGCGUCAUUGCCAUCAUCUUGCACAAAAUACCAGUCCAGGUAAUAUGAGAGAGAGAGAGAGAGAGAGAGAGAGAGAGUGAUCAUCCGACAAGAGUAACAGAUAUGGCAGUCUCCUCCAUCUCAGGCCAACAACAAGGCAUCAUUUGUCUCAAGAAUAAGGCGAGUAAGGUAAAAAUGCAUGGAGACCCUCCAAACUGACGCUGCGAUUUCCCUGCACCACAGCCCCACGUGUGGAUAAAUCCUGGGAAGAGCUUCUCUUGCUGAGAAAAAUCCCGUAGGCUCUUACGCUGUAUCAUUAUUAUUAUUAUUAUUAUUGAAAGAAACUUUUGCUCAGUUUCGGUUGUAAAGAAUCAGUGAAAUUAAGGGGGAAAAAUAGAGACCUAAUUUUGAAGUUCAACAAUAUAAAAUGAUCAUCAAAGAAUUCACAAGAAACAAAUACAAAUUAAUAAACUGGUAAUAUCAAGAACAAAAGUUAAAGAAUAAGAAAAGCUUCAAAUAAUAACUUCAUUGUCUCAGCAAAAGGAGAGGAAAGAAGAACUGAAGUACAAGUCAAAAACCAAUUUGUGUUACAAAGCCAAUAUCAACAUACUAAGAAAAUAAAUGCAAUGAACCAAACCAAAACCCCAAAAUAAAAUAGAAAAAAGAAAAGCAAACAAGCAAGAUGUUUUUAUAUGGUGAAAGCAUACAGACCUUCAAUAAACUAUUGAUCAUUUUGAGUUGACUGUCCAAUCUUUUAAAUUUUGAUUUUGCUACCCAACAUUUCAAUUUGUUUAAUUCGAGUCAAUCAACAGCACUUCAACUUUAAAAUUUGAAUGCGUCUUUUAUUUUUGCAGGUUUAGCUAGCAUACUUCAUGCAAUUCUCGCGACUAUACAUUCAUUAAAGUAAUUAGCUUAAAUUUUGAAGUCAAAAUAUAGUUGACUGACUCAAAUCAAACAUAUUGAAAGGCUAAAUAGCAAAAUCAAAAUUUUGAAAGAUUUUGAAAGAUUGGGUAGCCAAUUCAAAAUGGCGCAUAAUUUAGGCAAGUUCUAUACAUUUUAACCUUUUCAUAUAAGAGGGAUGAAAAGAUCAACCGAGGCUCAGACUUGGUGCAAAGAAACCCACAUAUAUUCCACCCUUAUAAAUACAAUGUAGCUGCAGCAAUGGCCUGCAAAACAGAAGGCCAUCCAGCUGCCCUGCCAACAUCAAUAAAGAAAGAAUUGACAAGUAAAUGGAUGACAUGGUACAUUAAGAGCAGGAAACAAUUUUCUGACAGAAGAAAAAGAUAAAGAGAGAGAGAGAGAGAGAGAGAGAGAGAGAGAGAGAGAGUCAUCACCAUUGAAGAGCAGAUGCAUAUUGAUAGCAUUCUAAUCCAGCCAGCAAACAUCUAGAGACAUGUUUAAUUGGAGUUAGCCCACUUAGGCCAGAAGAUGUGAUUUUCACGAGGCAAAAGGGACAAAAUAGUUAAAGAAUUAUACGUUAAAACAUACAGAGACCCCCUCAACUAUAGGAGAAAUUAUUGCAUGGAACGCAGUCAAUAGACCAGUAUUUCCGAAAGUCAAUACCCACAACAUUUGCAGCCGCGAGGAUGUGAUCACCUUCAUUGCCUCACGGAAAGCAAUAUACACAUACAUACAAAACAUAUACACAAAUGGCAGAAUUGCCUCUGCAAACUUGAAAAAUUACAGAGUUUUAUCUUUGACCUCGUUUUCUCAGAUACCCCUGCUUUGAGGGUUUAUUGAAAAGAAUUUGGAUUGUUAGAAGGGUACAUUUCAGCAUACAUGUUUUUGAGGGCUAUAUAUGAAAGUAGGAAUGUGCUCAGAAGUAUAUAGGCAAUUGUCCCUAAACAAAUAUACACAUAUAGGUAUAAAUAUAGAUAAAUGUAGAGAGAGAGAGAGAGAGAGAGAGAGAGAGAAGAACAAGAACAAGAACAAGAACAAGAACAGAGGGCAUUAAGCCGACGGUUAAUUCUUUUCGUCGGCCUCAAUUAUCUCCCUUCGAGCCGAAGGGCUGUCUCGCAUCUACUAAGGCGGAGCAUUAUUUAGAGUACCUCAGAAAGUCACCAGAAACUCGGCUAACAAGUCAAACAAUCAUAUUAUCAGUGCCACAUAUAUAUAACUCUAUUGGAAUAAAGUUGCACUGCACAAUGUGUACAGAACUCUUCAUUUGAGAGAGAGUACUGCUACAGGUCACAAAGAGAGUUGCCCUUACAGGCAGUUGUUUUUUGGCCUAUAAUAUGUGGACAUGUAAGAGGUCCAUCGAAUAAGUACCGAACCAUUUCCGAAGUUCAUAAAUAAGUACCAAAGUGUCACGCGUCUCAUAGUUUGAGGACCAAAAGUGUAAUUUACCCUUCAUUAAACUAUUCAAUGUGAAAAGGGGGAAUCAAAUGGAAAAAUGGAAAACGAAAAAAAAAAAAAAUCAGAGGAAAAACACAACCGAAUAAUAGAGCAAAAUAGAAGAGAAAUGUUUUCAACUCCACAAGAAAAUUGUAGCACAGGAAGACAAGAAAAGGAGGGGCAGAAGUUCCUCGUCUCCCUUAUCACAACUAAAACCUGUGCUGCCAAAGUUGUUAAAGAAGUAACAGAGGAAAGAAAGGUAUCUCUAUAGCCUCAAUCAUAUUAACUUGGUUUUUCCAUAUAGUAUGUCUGAUUGUGCAAUCCACACAAUCAUCAUCAUGUGCGCUGCUUAGGCAUAUACGAAGGUUGUAUGUCAUAGUCUUCAUGACCAUUCCCUAAGGCUAAGUAGUUUGGGCACGAGUAAGAGGCACAUUAUUAAAUACUAGAGAAAGAGAGGAGAGGAAAAGAGAGACUCAAUUGAAACUCGGGAAACAGUUUAAGGACCUCAAUACACCAAUUAGAAGAUUAGGGACUCACUUGAAACUUCGUUGAAACUUCGGUAAAAGGUUAGGAAAGUCCUAUGAGAUUUACCCCUCAGAAAAUUACGAAAAGCUAUCUUGAGAUUGUUUGAGAGAGAGAGAGAGAGAGCCAGCCCGGAAGAACAGCAGCUCCUACCAAAACCAAAAUGAAACUUGACUCGAAGUUUGAGAACUAACAAUGCAAUUUCCCUCCUAGACAGUAGCUGCAGCUGUUGCCUGCAUAGCAGCAGGCCAUCCAGUUGCCCCGCCUACUCCUGUCUAAGAUAUUAAGAACAACAGGUAUAUAUGAGUCCAGGUAAUAACUGAGAGAGAGAGAGAGAGAGAGAGAGAGAGAGAGAGAGAGAGAAACUGAAAGAGCAGCUGCUUACUUACCAGGACCAAAAUGAAACUUCGGCCAAAAGUUCAAGGACCAACAGUGCAAUUUAUGCCUUAAGAAAGAGAGUAUAGACUUCAAUGUUUUCUUUUAAAAACAAAAAAUUAAUAGAAAAAAGGGUGGGAGGAGAAGAAAAUGGACGCUUGUUUGCCAAAAUAAACCCCCAUGGCUGUCUUUAUCAGCAGAAAUAUAACCAAGACCACCUCUUAGCAAGUAGUUGCAGGUGUUGCCUGCACAGCACCAGGCCAUCCACAAGCCCUGUUAACACGGUUGAUGUAGUGCACCAGGUGGAAGCAACAAAUUUCUUGUAAAGAGUAUUCUCUGUCACAGUUAUUCCAAAUAGAAUUGGUAUUCGACAGCUAAUCCGUUUGACAUGAUGCCAGGUAACCAUUUCUCCCUGAGAGAAAGACCAGGCGAAUAAAUAGAGGGAGAGGGUCAUCGGCCCAGAAGAGCAACAGCUAGUUUGAGGACCAAAAUGAAACUUGACUAAAAGUUCAAGAACUCGUAAUGUUGAUAGAAAAACAAUGGAGGUGCAAAAGAUUAACGGAGGCUCAGAUUUAACACCAAAGGAAAAAUUAAUCAUAUACACCAGUCUAACACUGGAGAUGUAGCUGCAGCCAUUGCCUGCACGGUUGAAGGCCAUCCAGCUGCCCAGCCAACAUCACCAAAGAAACAAGCAUUUCAUUGGGUCGUAAACAAAUGUGGUGAGCCGGGUGCAAGAAAUAGAUGUAUAUAUAUAUAUAUAUAUGAAUGUGUGUGUGUGUACAUGCACACAUAUGGAAAGAAAAAGAAAGAAAGAAAGAAAGAGAAUGGCAUUGCAUGAGAAUAGCAUAUCUUCUCACAAAAUUGCAGUGAUGCGGUGUUUAUCAUCAUCGCCUCCAAGAAGGAAAAGAAAGAAAAAAAAUUUGUAAGAAAGCAUAUUUUGUAUAUAAUGUAACAAAAUGUUAACGGGGGAGCUGGCAAAAAGAGAAAAAUGGAACCACAAGAUACUAAAUUAAUACACUUUAAACCACAUAGUACCAAAGUGAGAAAGUGUGAAACCACAGGGAUGGUAUUUGAAGUUUACCCAAAUGAGUAACACAUGACAGAAAGAGAAUUUAUAUAGAUGUAUAUAUUUAUAGUGGGGCUAAAAUACUAUUGAUAGUAGCAAAGUGGUGGCUGCGACCAACUUUUGACCCUUGGAUCAAUAGGGUCUAGGGUCCAGAGUUUAGGGUUUAGUGGUUGCUACUAUUGAUAGUAGCUCAACUUUAAACCACAUAGUACCAAAGUGAGAAAGUGCGAAACCACAGGGAUGGUAUUUGAAGUUUACCCAAAAGAGUAACACAUAACAGAAAGAAAAUUUGUAUAGAUGUAUAUAUUUAUAGUGGGGCGAAAAUACUAUUGAUAGUAGCAAAGUGGUGGCAGCGACCAACUUUUUGACCCUUGGAUCAAUAGGGUCUAGGGUCCAGAGUUUAGGGUUCAGUGGUUGCUACUAUUGAUAGUAGCUCAACUAUACAUGCACAUAUAUAUAUAUAUAUAUAUAUAUAUAUAGUCGAUCUUGGCUGCUUUCAAAAGUGGAGCAUGCACUAUUCAUGUGCUUCAACUCUAGCCCCAAUAAUAUAUAUAUAUAUAUAUAUAUAUAUAUAUAUAUAUAUAUAUAGUAGGCUACUAUACUAUUAAUAGCACCAACUCAUUGGUGCUAUUAGGUUUUCGGCCCUUGAAUGAAGGGAUGUGCAGUUAGGAUGACAAUGUCCCCUAGGGUUGAGAGGGUGGUUGGUUGAAUAGUAUGAUCUAACAGAUGGGGUAGAUCUAACGGCCAAAAACUUAGUAGCACCAAGCGCUUGGUGCUAUUGAUAGCAUAGUAGCCGGACUCUCUCUCUCUCUCUCUCUCUCUCUCUCUCUCUCUCUCUCUCUACAUAUAUAUAUAGCAAAAUCAAAUCUAUACAUAUGUACCACUGAAAAAUAUUUAACUUCACAUAUACAUUUAGUGCCCUGGGUCCACAAAACGUGAAAUUAGAAAUAUGAAUCAGUAACUUCCCUUUCACCAAUUUAUUUAUUUAUCUACUUAUUUUUUGAGUUACGCAAUCAGAUACAAAUAUAUAAUAAAUAGAAGAGCGAUGCUACCUCUAGAACCACCUUUUGGUUGUAAUAAAACCCUUCGAUCACACUGAGAGACACUUCCGAAAAUGAAGAUGAAUGUUCGCAUAUAUAUAUAUAUAUAUAUAUAUAUAUAUAUAUAUAUAUAUAUAUAUAUAUAUAUAUAUCCCUGCAGAGUGCGGAACUGCACAAAUACCCUUGCAGACUUCUCGUAACAAGCUGCUAAAUACAGCAGUCGCUCAGGUUUGGAUCAAGGGAAUUGGAAAGAAAACAAGAAGAGAAGAACCGCUUAAAGUAACCAAAAAAAAAUCAAAGCAAAAGGAAACAAAUACAAACCAACAAUCAAAUAGAAGUGAGAAAAAAAAAAAGAAGAUAAAGCUAAGCUUCAAAGAAGUACCUUGGUUUCAUUGGAAAAGGGAAAGCAAAGAAGAACAAAAGGGAGGGUCAGAUUCGCAGCAAUAUCGCUCUAACAGCGACGAAAGACAAGCCUUACACUGCAGAAAACAAGGGCAGUAUUUUGGCAACAAGUAGCAAUACUCUUUUGGCAAAACACCUUCCCAGCUGCACACUUAUGGCAUGCGUCACAGUCUGACAGGUUUGGUCUACAGACGAUACGGUGUAUCAAGUUCAAGAAUAGAGAAGACAUGUAAUGGGACAGGCAAACAGCAACUGAAGGACUUUCCGCAGAAAGUCACAAUCAUGUGGAAUUCAUUGCCAUCACCUUGCACAAAAUACCAGUCCAGGCAGUAUGAGAGGGAGAGAGAGAGAUAUUAUUUGCAGGGAGCUGUAUGAAAUUAACCCAUAUAUAUAUAUAUAUAUAUAUAUAGAGAGAGAGAGAGAGAGAGAGAGAGAGAGAGAGAGAGAGAGAGAGAGAGAGUCAUCAGCCUAAAAGAGUAGCAGAAAUGCCGGUCUACUUCCUCUCUGGCCAAAAACCAGGUAGAAUUUGUUCUAGAAUAAGGCAAUUUAGGUAAAAAUGCAUGGAGACCCCCUUUACCGGGGCUGCAAUUCACCUAUCCUCAAGCCCCAGGGGUGGAGAAAUUCUGAAAAAGCCCCUCAACUAUGGCCAUGUCGCAAAGUCUUUUUUUUCAACUUGCCAAAAAUGGCCAAAAGGGUAACAGCAGCAACAAUAACGAUACGGACAUGUUCCCUGCCUUUAGUUUUUGAAAAAACUUCUGCUCUCUUCUGCAUGUAAAGAAUCCAUAAAAUUACAAAGGUAAGUAAAAAUAGAAAAUUCUAUUUCUAAAGUUUAAGAAAGGCCAAUUUGCAUAAAAAAUCCACCAGUUUUGAGAUUUUGCAAGUUCGGUCCCUCUUUUGAGAGAGAGAGAGAGAGAGAGUCAUCAGCCUACACGAGUUGCAGAAAUUGCAAACUACUUCCUCUCUGGCCAACAACCAGGCAACAUUUGGUUAGAGGACAAAGCAAUUCAGGCGAAAAUGUACAGAGAGCCGCUAAAGUGGCAAUGCAAUUUCCCUGCCCUGCAGCCCCAGGCAUGGAGGAAUCCUGGGAAAAAGCCCCUCAACUAAAGUCAUGUUAAAAGAAGACCUUUGUUUUUCUUUUCCUGCAGAAAAUGGCCAAAGGGAACACAUUUGCUCUCUUUUUUUCUCUUUUGUCCUCUUCUUCUUCUUCUUUCUAAGAGAAAUCCAGUAGGCACCUUGAAUUUUUUUUUUUUUUUUUUUUGCGGAUUAACUUUUGCUCAGUUUCAGUGGUAAAGAACCAGUGAAUGCAACAAGAGAGAGCAAAAAGUGCAAAAGAUUGACGGAGGCUCAGAUUUAACACCAAAGGAAAAAUUAAUCAUAUACACCAGUCUAACACUGGAGAUGUAGCUGCAGCCAUUGCCUGCAAGUUGAAGGCCAUCCAGCUGCCCAGCCAACAUCGCCAAAGAAUCAAGCAUUUCAUUGGGUAGUAAACAAAUGUGGUGAACCAGGUCCAAGAAAUAGAUGUGUAUAUAUAUAUAUAUAUAUAUGAACGUGUGUGCGUACAUGCACACAUAUGGAAAGAGAAAAAUAAUGGCAUUGCAUGAGAAUAGCACAUCUUCUCACAAAAUUGCAGUGAUGCGGUGUUUAUCAUCAUCGCCUCCAAGAAGGAAAAGAAGGGAAAAAAUAUUUUGAAGAAAGCAUAUUUUGUAUAUAAUUUAACGAAAUGUUAACGGAGGAGCAGGCGAAAAGAGAAAAAUGAAACCACAGGAUACUAACUUAAUACACUUUAAUCCACAGGGUUACUAAAGUGAGAAAGUGCGAAACCAUAGGGGUGGUAUUUGAAGUUUACCCAAAAGAGUAACACAUAAGAGAAAGAGAAUUCAUAUAGAUGUAUAAAUUUAUUGUGGGGCUAAAAUACUAUUGAUAGUAGCAAAGUGGCGGCCGCGACCAAGUUUUUGACCCAUGGAUCAAUAGGGUCUAGGGUCCAGAGUUUAG